rnacentral:rRNA from 1 species
AGUGAACGCUGGCGGUAGGCCUAACACAUGCGAGUCGAACGGCAGCACAGUAAGAGCUUGCUCUUACGGGUGGCGAGUGGCGGACGGGUGAGGAAUACAUCGGAAUCUACUUUUUCGUGGGGGAUAACGUAGGGAAACUUACGCUAAUACCGCAUACGACCUACGGGUGAAAGCAGGGGAUCUUCGGACCUUGCGCGAUUGAAUGAGCCGAUGUCGGAUUAGCUAGUUGGCGGGGUAAAGGCCCACCAAGGCGACGAUCCGUAGCUGGUCUGAGGGGAUGAUCAGCCACACUGGAACUGAGACACGGUCCAGACUCCUACGGGAGGCAGCAGUGGGGAAUAUUGGACAAUGGGCGCAAGCCUGAUCCAGCCAUACCGCGUGGGUGAAGAAGGCCUUCGGGUUGUAAAGCCCUUUUGUUGGGAAAGAAAAGCAGCAGGUUAAUACCCCGCUGUUCUGACGGUACCCAAAGAAUAAGCACCGGCUAACUUCGUG